AUGGGAACCGCUCCCUGUCCCGUUCCCUGUCUGGGGCUGUUCUCCAUGAUGCCAGAGGCAGAGAAAGAACUGGAAAGGGAUCUUAGUUUUCAUCUUCACAGCACCGUUCUGUAGAGCGGCUCUCCACAUCCUCUCUUGAACCUUUUUUAGUACCUUUAGCAGGUGUGGAGUGUCCUAACUGUUCCCGGGAACGAAAUAUCCGAGAGGAAUAUAACAAAAUUAUCAUUCAGGCUAGGAGAGACAAAGAUUCUCUGAGUCAAAAAGUAGCAGAACUAGAGAAUGAGUUAAGGACAAGAGCAACACAGAAGAGAGAAGAGGGGUCAAGCUGGGAAAAGAAAAGAGGAAAUGAAGAAUCUACAAGCAGUACAUCUGUAGAGACAGGAAUAUUAAAGACUGCAGAGAUACCAAAGCAUGUGCUGGAUAAUGUCACAGUGUGUUUGCAAACAGAAGCAGAGGGUCUGAGAUCAGAGCUGAAUGCCUGUUGUGAGAGAGAGAAGAUGCUGACACAAACACUGCAUUCUGAGAGAGAGAGACUGACUCAGGACGUCCAGGAACUGCUCACACAGCUCAACAGCACCAGAGAGAGAAACAACCAGCUUGUGUCAACCCUUAACAACCAUCGGGUACAAAUCACACACAGCCUACUAAUGAAGAGUUUUAGAACAUCUGUUUGAUUACAUGAACAUGUGAAACAACAAUAAAGACCUAGUUUGAUUUAUGAUUAAAUAAAGUGAGGUCUAGUGUGAUCACUUUAGAUUGCAGUCAUUUUUGUCUAUGAAUGUAGUUUGAUAUUCAUGUUAUUAUUGUGCUGUUUGUAUGGUAGGAGAGCUUGUUGGCAGAACUACAGACCAGCAGAGAGGAGCUUGAAUGAUUUCGAGAGAAUGUGUCACUUACCCUCAGCCAGCUCAAGACUGAAAAGGCUGAACUGAUGUCACACUUACAAGACACAAAAAGUUCCUAUGAAAAGGUGUGCUUGGAAAAUGCUGGUUUGAGACAGAAACUCAAGUCAUUUUUGAGGGAGAUCAGUUCGGCACCCUUCACAGAAUGCAGCAGUCCAGACACUAACACUUCGCAUACACAUGCAGUCACAACGAAUACUGAGAUGAUUGUCGUUUCACACCAUGUGUCUCAGCAAUGUCCUGCAGGUGUCACACAAGGAAGUGAAUGCUGCUUUAGUCAGUGUGAAGGGUUUCAGCAUCCUGAGGAGGAGCAUACAGAGAAAUCUGAAACCACAAACAAGAGCAACUUUGAACAGCCUCUGUACAAACCCCAAAACCUCUAUAAGCAGUUGAGGAGGGAGCACAGACUGUUACUGGACGUGAUGCUGGUUCUGUACAGAAGAGAGUGGUUUCUGCAGGAUGCCAUACCAUACGUCAGACGUACGCUCAGGAAGUGUGGACUGAGGCCUGAGGAUUUAGACUAA
rnacentral:lncRNA from 12 species